GCCCCCGUAGCUCAGUUGGAUAGAGCAACGGACUUCUAAUCCGCAGGUCGCAGGUUCGACUCCUGCCGGGGGCGCCA
rnacentral:tRNA from 1 species